ACUCAAAUGAAUUGACGGGGACCCGCACAAGCGGUGGAGCAUGUGGUUUAAUUCGAGGCUACACGAGGAACCUUACCUGGGCUUGACAUGUUAGAAGUAGUCACCUAGAAAUAGGAGGCGACCGUAUCCAAUCGGAGUCUUUCACAGGUGCUGCAUGGCUGUCGUCAGCUCGUGCUGUGAAGUGUUGGGUUAAGUCCCGCAACGAGCGCAACCAUUGUUCAUAGUUACCAGCGGGUUAUGCCGGGGACUCUAUGAAGACUGCCGGUGGUAAACCGGAGGAAGGUGGAGAUGACGUCAAGUCAGCAUGGCCCUUACGUCCAGGGCUACACACGUGCUACAAUGGUCGGUACAAUGGGACGCAAACCCGCGAGGGGGAGCAAAUCCAUAAAAGCCGGCCUCAGUUCGGAUUGCAGGCUGCAAUUCGCCUGCAUGAAGUCGGAAUCGCUAGUAAUGGCGCAUCAGAUAUGGCGCCGUGAAUACGUUCCCGGGUCUUGUACACACCGCCCGU
rnacentral:rRNA from 1 species